GUUCAACAUGCCAAGGUGCCAUACUUUUGUAUGGCAUGUGCUGAAUCCCAUCAUUCGAUUAGUAGAAGCAAGGAAUUCAAGAUGAAAAGUUAUCUCAAGGACCAAAGCUAUUUGAAUCACAACUGGAAACUACCGAGGGAUUGUUCCUUCUCUGGGCUCCAGUGAAAGGCAGUGGUCAUCCUUGUCAUUCAGUAAAGGAUGGCACAGCACGCCACAGACUACGAG
rnacentral:lncRNA from 1 species